rnacentral:misc_RNA from 1 species
UUAAAAUUACUGCGAUAAAAUUGGUGAUCGGGAAAGAAUGAAAGUGCAGAAGUGCAGAAAGUACUUAAAUGAGUCUUUACGAGUCAAUAUUGGUCCAGCAUUUAAUAUGGGAUUUUUAAUUGGCUGCACAGAUCGAUGCAAGCCAAUCCAACGAUAGCUCUAGAAUAAUUUUCGAAUUCAAAUUCAAAUUGCGUGUCACGCAUUGGACAUUCGACAGCCAAUGAAAAAAUACUUCCUAGAGGCAUCAAGAUAUCGCUGGCUGCAGUUACUAGAACGACGAAUACACUUGUUCUCUUCAGCUGCACUUUUCAUUUAUUAUUCUCCUCUCCCCGCUGUUCCCAAUACUUAGAUUAUAUUUCUUUUAAUGCAAUUAUAUAUCUAUUGUAUAUUUCUUGAUUAUAUUAAUCUUGCAAUUAAAGAAACAAUUCCGGUUCAAAUACAAUAGUUCGCGGCUGCGUUGCAUCUGUUGAAUUGCGUUCUUGAAAAGAAGUCAUAUGCUCACCAUCUAGGUAACGUUAGGUUGCGGCAUUUUGAAAUGUUAAAUGCACGAAGCAAUGCGUGUAACUGUUCGAAUGAUCGCAAAGGAAGUGAAAUCGAAGAAUUGUGUGAUGGGAGACGUUAUAGCGUGCUAGUCGGUUUGGAGCACACAGUUCUUGAAGAGCCUUAUCUUACGGCGUACACACGAACCGAACUGAUACUUCCGCUGUGACGAGGACGAGGUACAUAUAGAGGUUAACCGGCUUCAACAAGAUGAUCGAAACCGUGAAAAAGAGCUGCAAGGAGCUGCUGGUGCAACGAAUGCUGCUCGCCAGCGUGUCCAGCGUAACGUUGCAGUUCUUCCUCGUAUGCUGCCUCGUGCUGUUUGCGAACCUGAGCGCGGACUAUGUGCAUUGGCUGCACGCGACCUGGCUUGCUUUCACGUCGCUGCGUAUGUGGAUCUACCUGUUGAUCCUUACCUUGGUGACCUUCCUGCAGGGUUACCUCUGCAGCAAGAUCUACUUGCGCAGCCCAUCAUACCACAAGAGCAGAUUCGCCAGGUUAUGUGCGAUUCUCACGACACAGAACCUGCUAUUGUGCGCCUCAUACAUCGUCAUCGGCGGUGUCCUGGUCUGGCUAUACUUGUCUUUGAUGGGUGGUAAAUACAGUUCGCCGGUUAUCGAGUGCAGCAUCGGUCAGGGCAAGUGUCUGGCCGAGAGGUAUUAUUUCUUGUUGCUCAGCGGCUGCUGGAGUGGUUUGUACUACUCUGUCAAGAACAACAACGUCACUCGCAGAUACUUCCGCUUCCCCAUCAUAGCGCAGUCCAAGUUCUCCCGGCUGAGACGCAGCGUCUACACCAUACUGCCUACGUUGAUACUCUCCUCCAUUUGGUCGACUAUGUACUAUACGAUGAUUUAUUUUUUCUUGGGUUCUUACUAUCGCACUGCACUAUACACAAUUUCAGUACGGUCGGAGCCAUCUGAAGCUUUAGACACUGUGUCUAGGCUUCUAAACUUCAUGUUGAUAUCGCGACUGUGGCUGUAUCAGUUUCUCUUUGUGUUGACGAUCAGCAGCAUACAUCUGCUCUUUGAAGUCUACAUGACUGAAUGGGUUUGGUUCAAAAUCGGCACGAGCGGUGCCUUCAGUACGGACGAUCCUGAGUUGACGCUCGCUGAUGCAAUCUCCAUGGACAAGGUACCGAUAAUGCAACACUUGGGCUAUCUGGAUCUAGUUAACAUAGCUCAGAAAGAACAACGCAGGAGGAUCUUAUUGUUCACACUCAGCCAGCCAGGUGGCCAUCCCUAUAACUGGAAUUGCGUGGUGCAGAGAUGCAUGAAUCUCUUGAAGAACUUCACCAUUGACCUCAACACCAUAUGUUUAAAGCCACAAGAUCGGAUAGUCUACAGCAGCCCAACUCUGACAACAACCGGCACGACGAGCAUGCAGCAUAAUGACUACUUAUACCGCAUGCGGAAGCUGGUGCAGGAUAUACCGCCACCGACGAUGGCAACGUGCGAGACUGGUGCGAAGGAGACCGUUUGCAACAGCUGGUGCUUCCAGAAGUUCAUCAAGCAGAAACGAGAUGCCUUUGUAGCGUAUCUGCUAUCCAAGCCACUCAUCAACUAUAUCUUCGGCGAGCAGGAGGACCACAAGAUCCGUUAUGUAUUAUCCAACGGUCAGCUGGUGAUCUGGGCCGCCGAGGCAAUUUCGUCGCUGACUGUGUUCUCCUUGACCGAAGAUUCCUACGGUAUCGUGCAAAAGGACGUGCCGACCAUCAUCUACGUCCUGCUGUCGGUGAAGCAAGCUCUCGACAAGCUGCACAAGUCGAGCAUGUCCACGAGGAAAGUGCAGACGGACGACAAGUUGAUCAGGGAGAUCUUUAUGUCUUUGCGCAGCGCGAUCAAGCGCAGCCUUUACAGAAUCGUCACCAACUUCGAGCCGUAUAUCAACGAGUUGUAUCUUGAGCCGGUGAAAAUAGAACAGCUGCAGAGCUACUUUAAUUACAAGGAAUGAAUUGUAAAUACUCAUAUUCACACACACCACAAAGUGUACUUAUGCGAUUUAUCAACAGAAGCUUCAUGAGAAAGCGUAACAUUUUGGAAUUAUCAGAUUUAUCACGUUCAUACGUCUAUGGAUUCGAGUUGUAAAAGUUUUGUCUUUUAUUUAUAAGGGACGAUGCAAUGGUCGCCCAAAGUUGUACAGUCGAAUAUAUUUGCAUCGAAAUGUGUUAUUGAAGUUUGUAAAUGCAAUUCUGUGUGUAUGCAAUGUAACAGACGCACUAAAGAAAAUAACAGAUAUCUCAAUGUAGAUAUAUUAUUCGAUAUUUGUAUAUAUAAAGUAUAAUUGAUAAUAAACGAAUAUUUUUUGAACAUAUUUUGAGUCUGUCAUUCUGAAUAUCGAUAUUCAUGUGUUUUUAUUGUGUAUUGCUCAAAAAGUAAUUGUGAAAUCAUUCCUAGUGGAUAUGGUUCUACUAAAUAUUUCAGCCCAUAAGAAUUACAAAUAUAAAAAUAAAUAGUUGUCAUAUGAAUGCUGUGACAAAAAUUUAGUAAGGCUCGUACUCUGAAUUUUCUUUUAUCACUAAAAGUAAUUCUAAAAAUGGCUUAUAGCCAAUCAAGAAUAACUUAUAAGCCACUUUUAGACUCACUUUUAGCGAUAAAAGAGAGUUCAAAAUAUAAGCCUAAGAGUUCAGUAAAGAUUCUGGUGUGUCAAUAGAAAUAUUACAUACGUAUUAUAUAUACAUACAAUAAUAUUACAUUCGUAUUUACUUAUUACACUAAAAUUUGUUUUUACAAAUUUGACAUCUAAGACACAUCAGUCAUUUAAAAAACGUUCAGUUUUGAACAGUAUACUCGGUUCCAAGCCUCCAAAUGCUUUUCUAUCUGGCU